UGUGGUUAAGUUAAUAAGGGCACACGGUGGAUGCCUUGGCGUUAGGAGCCGAAGAAGGACGCAGCGAACUGCGAUAAGCCUCGGGGAGUGGUAAGCACACUUUGAUCCGGGGAUUUCCGAAUGGGGGAACCCACCAUCUGUAAUGGGAUGGUAUCCUUCACUGAAUACAUAGGUGAUGAGAGGGCAGACCCGGUGAACUGAAACAUCUAAGUAGCCGGAGGAAGAGAAAACAAUAGUGAUUCCGUCAGUAGUGGCGAGCGAACGCGGAAGAGCCUAAACCGUAGGAUUUAUCCUACGGGGUUGUGGGGCGUUUCAUAUAGGAGUUACAAAAGACAGAUGUAGGUGAACAGUUUGGGAAGACUGACCAAAGAGCGUGAUAGUCGCGUAACCCAAACAUCUGUCUCUCCGAGACCAACCCCGAGUAGCGCGGGACACGUGAAAUCCCGUGUGAAUCUGGCAGGACCAUCUGCUAAGGCUAAAUACUACCUAACGACCGAUAGUGAACCAGUACCGUGAGGGAAAGGUGAAAAGCACCCCGGGAGGGGAGUGAAAUAGUACCUGAAACCGUGUGCUUACAAAUAGUCGGAGCACUUUCUAUGUGUGACGGCGUGCCUUUUGUAGAAUGAACCGGCGAGUUACGAUAGCGUGCGAGGUUAAGUCGAAGAGACGGAGCCGUAGCGAAAGCGAGUCUGAAUAGGGCGAAAGUACGUUGUCGUAGACCCGAAACCGUGUGAUCUAGCCAUGUCCAGGGUGAAGGUAGGGUAACACCUACUGGAGGCCCGAACCCACGCACGUUGAAAAGUGCGGGGAUGAGGUGUGGCUAGCGGUGAAAUUCCAAUCGAACUCGGAGAUAGCUGGUUCUCCCCGAAAUAGCUUUAGGGCUAGCCUCGGAAUAAAGAGUCUUGGAGGUAGAGCACUGAUUGGACUAGGGGCCCUCAUCGGGUUACCGAAUUCAGUCAAACUCCGAAUGCCAAGUACUUAUGUCCGGGAGUCAGACGGUGAGUGCUAAGAUCCAUCGUCAAAAGGGAAACAGCCCAGACCAUCAGCUAAGGCCCCCAAGUGUAUGUUAAGUGGGAAACGAUGUGGAGUUGCCCAGACAACCAGGAUGUUGGCUUAGAAGCAGCCACCAUUUAAAGAGUGCGUAAUAGCUCACUGGUCGAGUGACUCUGCGCGGAAAAUGUAACGGGGCUAAACAUACCGCCGAAGCUAUGGCAGUCCUUAUGGACUGGGUAGGGGAGCGUUCCAAGCAGCAGUGAAGCCGUAUCGUGAGGAGCGGUGGAGCGCUUGGAAGUGAGAAUGCCGGUGUAAGUAGCGAAAAGACAAGUGAGAAUCUUGUCCACCGAAAGCCUAAGGUUUCCUGGGGAAGGCUCGUCCUCCCAGGGUUAGUCGGGACCUAAGCUGAGGCCGAAAGGCGUAGGCGAUGGACAACUGGUUGAUAUUCCAGUACCACCUCUGUUCCGCUUGAGCAAUGGCGUGACGCAGGAGGAUAGGGUGAGCGGCCUAUUGGAUGGCCGUCUAAGCAGUAAGUGUGGUGUGUAGGCAAAUCCGCACACCAAUAAGCACAAGCUGUGAUGGCGAGGGAAAUUUAAGUACCGAAGUCCCUGAUUUCACACUGCCAAGAAAAGCGUCUAGCGAGGAACAAGGUGCCCGUACCGCAAACCGACACAGGUAGGCGAGGAGAGAAUCCUAAGGUGCGCGGGAUAACUCUUGCUAAGGAACUCGGCAAAAUGGCCCCGUAACUUCGGGAGAAGGGGCGCCUCGGUAGGGUUUAUAGCCCGAGGAGGCCGCAGUGAAAAGGCCCAAGCGACUGUUUAGCAAAAACACAGGUCUCUGCGAAGCCGCAAGGCGAAGUAUAGGGGCUGACGCCUGCCCGGUGCUGGAAGGUUAAGGGGAUGAGUUAGCGCAAGCGAAGCUUUGAACCGAAGCCCCAGUAAACGGCGGCCGUAACUAUAACGGUCCUAAGGUAGCGAAAUUCCUUGUCGGGUAAGUUCCGACCCGCACGAAAGGCGUAACGACUUGGGCGCUGUCUCGGCAAGAGACCCGGUGAAAUCAUAAUACCUGUGAAGAUGCAGGUUACCCGCGACAAGACGGAAAGACCCCAUGGAGCUUUACUGUAGCCUGGUAUUGAAACUUUGUGCAUCAUGUACAGAAUAGGUGGGAAGCUGUGAAGCGAGGGCGCCAGCCUUCGUGGAGCUGUCGUUGGGAUACCACCCUUGAUGUACGGAGUUUCUAACUUGCC
rnacentral:rRNA from 1 species